GUGGGGAAUAUUGGACAAUGGGCGCAAGCCUGAUCCAGCCAUGCCGCGUGAGUGAUGAAGGCCUUAGGGUUGUAAAGCUCUUUUGUCCGGGAAGAUAAUGACUGUACCGGAAGAAUAAGCCCCGGCUAACUUCGUGCCAGCAGCCGCGGUAAUACGAAGGGGGCUAGCGUUGUUCGGAAUCACUGGGCGUAAAGCGCACGUAGGCGGACCAUUAAGUCAGGGGUGAAAGCCUGGAGCUCAACUCCAGAACUGCCUUUGAUACUGAUGGUCUCGAGUAUGGAAGAGGUUGGUGGAACUGCGAGUGUAGAGGUGAAAUUCGUAGAUAUUCGCAAGAACACCGGUGGCGAAGGCGGCCAACUGGUCCACUACUGACGCUGAGGUGCGAAAGCGUGGGGAGCAAACAGGAUUAGAAACCCUGGUAGUCC
rnacentral:rRNA from 1 species